UGUUUUAAGGUGACGCCAAUCCGUGCAACAAAUUAGCAAUGGAAAACAGCACGUAAUCGUCCUGGCGGGAAAUGGACGGUCAUCGAAGCCGCUAUAAUACGUGUCACGGAGGCAGGCGGCUCGGCUGCUAUUACUGGAAACGGAGGGAUGACGUGAGGCUGCCACCGAGUGUCUGGCCUCUCCACCCAAGCACAGGAGCCCUCCGAGUGCACUGACGCUGCCAAAACAUUGAAGAGACGUGCGGGAUUAAGUGCAACUGGAGAGGGUUUCCUCUCGCCGGCGCCGAUCAAUGGGCCGCUGCCGAGCAGUGAAUGACAGGAUGCAGCGAGUCAAGACAACAAAGCUGUCACAAACAGCUGUCUCUGCUGACAAUUAUUAGAUUUAUUUAUUGACAGUGAUCAGGCAGAAGCACUUCAUGGGAAGCAACGAUAGGAACAUCCUCGCCCGCCAGACGCCAUCGGACACGUAUGGUAAUGCUCCGCAACACUUCCACUCGAUGGAUGUCGUCAAUUAUUUCCUUUUUUUUUUUUCAAAUAUAAUGGUGCCUCUACUUAUGAAAUGAAUUGAUUCCGGAAAGAAAUUUCUUAACUCAAACUUUGUAAAUCGAGAUGUGUUUUC